rnacentral:rRNA from 1 species
GACGAACGCUGGCGGCGUGCUUAACACAUGCAAGUCGAACGGAAAGGCCCUGCUUUUGUGGGGUGCUCGAGUGGCGAACGGGUGAGUAACACGUGAGUAACCUGCCCUUGACUUUGGGAUAACUUCAGGAAACUGGGGCUAAUACCGGAUAGGAGCUCCUGCUGCAUGGUGGGGGUUGGAAAGUUUCGGCGGUUGGGGAUGGACUCGCGGCUUAUCAGCUUGUUGGUGGGGUAGUGGCUUACCAAGGCUUUGACGGGUAGCCGGCCUGAGAGGGUGACCGGCCACAUUGGGACUGAGAUACGGCCCAGGCUCCUACGGGAGGCAGCAGUGGGGAAUAUUGCACAAUGGGCGGAAGCCUGAUGCAGCAACGCCGCGUGCGGGAUGACGGCCUUCGGGUUGUAAACCGCUUUCGCCUAUGACGAAGCGUGAGUGACGGUAAUGGGUAAAGAAGCACCGGCUAACUACGUG